AUGAAAAAAAAUAAAAAUUAUUAUUUAUAAGAUAAAAACAUUGUGUGCAAAGACUAUAACCACAUAUGCAGAAAGUCUAGAGAAAAUGGAGGACCUUUAAAGGAGUUGUCUCAUGCCUGUAUUUAAAUAUAAGCUGGCUCAACAGUCAGCUAAUCGCUAUCUGUCUGGCUUCUCUAAUGUCAGUCAUCCUAUCGCCCUAUGACAUUUGUCUUACGAUUUGGUGUAAGUAAUAGUAAAUCAAGAGGCCAUCCCUUCCCACUAAACCCUGUUCACUUUCUGAAACACCCCAACCUUCAUAAAAAGUAACACAUUUUAGCUCCAACAUAACGUAUGUUAAAAUGUGUGACUUUUUAUGCCACAAAAUUUGUGCAACUGGCUUGAUAAAUUCCCUCCCCUGUUUUUUUGGGGGGGAUCUGUCUACAUUCUAAUGACUGUAAGGACUGCUGGACCGGUUUCAUUGCUUGCAGUUAGCACAUGUGUGGCCUGUCCUUUAUUUUAUUCCCCAUGGAUAAAGAUGGAACCAGAAAGAACUGAUAUCUGCUCAUGUCCAUCAGAAUGGGACACAUUUAUGCUAGCUCGUAGCUAGUGUAGAAUUUAUUUUAUGGAGCAUGGACAGCACAAGAUGCAACAAAUUUAUUAAGACCCAUGCCUAAUAAAUUUGGUUGAUCUUUUUACUAAGGCUGCUGUAUAAAACACCAGUCUUUAGUAAAUAUAACCCAAUGUUCAUGUUAAUGGGGAAAUCUGGGGUUAUAAAUGUAAAUCAAAAGAUGGCUCUAUGGCUAUAUUAGGCUAAUCAUAACUAGUCAAUUCAUGCUUCUAUCUAGUCCUAUUGGUGUCCACCACUGGGACCACUGCAAUGAUCUAGUUGAUUGAAGGUUCUACUGUAGUCACUGGACUACAGUUUGGUCUAAAGCUGGUCACAAACCUAAGUGCUUCUACUACACACUUGGGUCAGUUGAAUGUGCACAUUUAUGUCUAUGGCAGCAAAAAGAACAAGCUGAUGCCAAACCCAUCUUGGAGGAAAACAUUAGGCACUGGCAAGGUAGAGCGACUGUCUAUUGUUCCUUUAAGAAUGGAUAUCUAAAGGGCCUUUAUUAUGGGCCGAUUAUCAGCUGAACAAAUGUUCAUAGGGACAUUCAUUCGCGAUCAUUGCCUCAUUUUAAAGGCAACUUUCAUUCACUCCAACAAUUGUCCAGUGUAACAUCUAUUAACGAGCGACUGUUGACUUGCUAUUGAGGAUUGGCACUGUCAUGGACAAUUAUUUACCCAUGCAAAAGGAACCUAAGGAUGUCCCGAUCCCCACAAGCUGUGCCAAUAAUGGUGAACAAUAUAUUAUCUAUGGCCAGUUUAAUACCUGGUUCUGUUUAUGUGGGAAGAGAAGAGCCAAAAUACAAAUCAGGUUAAUAUUAGAUUCCUCUACAGAACACGGAUGAUGACGAUGAUGCCAUGUGACUACAAUACCCACUCUGUCAUACAGGAGUGAAACAUUAAUAAUAAUGAAUUACUAAUUUCUGCGCAUUAUUACCUUCUCAGCACAGUGAAAAGAUCCAAUAAGGAAAGAAGGAGGAAGAAGAAUAAGGCAUCAGAGAGGAGAUCUCUUCAGGUGGGGGCAGAUGGAUAGACGAGUAAGGAAAGAAAAUCAGCUGAUCAGGAGCAAGAAAAAGAGGGCGUCAAAAAGUGGCAAAUUCUAUUAUUUCCAGGUUAGCCUCUGCAGAAGACACAGGAGUGACAGACUGGGUGAGGAAGGAGCUGCAGAUUCCUGUGUGUUGAUAGCUAGCAGUGGAGCAAACAAUGAUAAAAAUGCCCGUCAAGGACAGACAGAAGUGCAAGUGGGUAUGGAACUCCCACUGUGCAGAUGAGCAAAAUUCUAUGGUCAUCACCAUUUAACAAGGAAUUGGAGAAACACCAUUUUGAUCCCGCAACAGGGCAACCCUGGGAACUUACAGCAUCAUAGGAAUUGGGAUUUGUGGAGGUGCAAUAACUGCAGGCAUAUUACCUUCUGUAAAACCAGGGUUGUUCCAACAUUAACCACCUCAGCCCCCCUAGCUUAAACCCCCUUAAUGACCAGACCACUUUUUACAAUUCUGUACUACACUAAUUUCACGGUUUAUUGCUCGGUCAUACAACUUACCACCUAAAU